UACGUAGGGGGCAAGCGUUGUCCGGAUUUAUUGGGCGUAAAGAGCGUGUAGGCGGUUCGGUAGGUCCGUUGUGAAAACUCGAGGCUCAACCUCGAGACGCCGAUGGAAACCCUCGAACUAGAGUCCGGAAGAGGAGAGUGGAAUUCCUGGUGUAGCGGUGAAAUGCGCAGAUAUCAGGAAGAACACCCGUGGCUAAGGCGGUUCUCUAGUACGGUACUGACGCUGAGACGCGAAAGCGUGGGGAGCGAACAGG
rnacentral:rRNA from 1 species